rnacentral:rRNA from 1 species
CACGUAGGGCGCAAGCGUUGUCCGGAAUUAUUGGGCGUAAAGAGCUCGUAGGUGGUUUGUUACGUCUGCUGUGAAAUCCUAGGGCUUAACCCUGGGCUUGCAGUGGAUACGGGCAGACUAGAGGUAGGUAGGGGAGAAUGGAAUUCCUGGUGUAGCGGUGAAAUGCGCAGAUAUCAGGAGGAACACCGAUGGCGAAGGCAGCUCGCUGGGACGGUACUGACGCUGAGGCGCGAAAGCGUGGGGAGCAAACAGG